rnacentral:rRNA from 1 species
UACGAAGGGUGCAAACGUUGCUCGGAAUUAUUGGGCGUAAAGCGCGCGUAGGCGGCUUGGCAAGUCGGAUGUGAAAUCCCUCGGCUCAACCAAGGAAGUGCAUCCGAAACUGCCGAGCUUGAGUACUUAAGAGGAUCGCGGAAUCCCCGGUGUAGAGGUGAAAUUCGUAGAUAUCGGGAGGAACACCAGUGGCGAAGGCGGCGAUCUGGGAAGAUACUGACGCUGAGGUGCGAAAGCGCGGGGAGCAAACAGG